CUACGGGCGGCAGCAGUGGGGAAUAUUGCACAAUGGGCGCAAGCCUGAUGCAGCCAUGCCACGUGUGUGAAGAAGGCCUUCGGGUUGUAAAGCACUUUCAGCGGGGAGGAAGGCGGUGAGGUUAAUAACCUCAUCGAUUGACGUUACCCGCAGAAGAAGCACCGGCUAACUCCGUGCCAGCAGCCGCGGUAAUACGGAGGGUGCAAGCGUUAAUCGGAAUUACUGGGCGUAAAGCGCACGCAGGCGGUCUGUCAAGUCGGAUGUGAAAUCCCCGGGCUCAACCUGGGAACUGCAUUCGAAACUGGCAGGCUAGAGUCUUGUAGAGGGGGGUAGAAUUCCAGGUGUAGCGGUGAAAUGCGUAGAGAUCUGGAGGAAUACCGGUGGCGAAGGCGGCCCCCUGGACAAAGACUGACGCUCAGGUGCGAAAGCGUGGGGAGCAAACAGGAUAGAUACCCGGGUAGUC
rnacentral:rRNA from 1 species